GGAUCUAAUUGUCCGGUUUCGCAAUGGCAAGGACAAGGCAACAAUGCUCAUGGCCCUCAAAAACCGUGACUCUUACACCUUUGAAGGAAUGCAACUCACCUUUUACCCAGACCUCUCGGGAGGCACUCUGGCGUGGCGGAGAUCCCUCCAACCGCUCACCACCCUACUUAGGCAGAAGAACAUACAGUAUCAAUGGAGGCUGUCACGAACUCUGAUGAUCCGACACGGAGAAACCCAGCACGCAGUCCGCGACAUCACUGAGGCACAGACCCUGUUGCACACACUGGGACUCACACAGGACCUGCUACCGCCAGCUGGAUUGCAGAGACCCAAUCCCGCACCCCAGCGCUGGGACCCGGAGAAAGUGACUGUGUUCGUCCCACGGAAGCCCCCAUCGACCGGAGCCGCAACACUCACCACUUGAACUCUUACUUAUGUUACGGUGCAUCCCACACACAGUUACCCUGAGCUACCACUAGCCUAUACAUGUUUUAUUUUUACUUAUGGUUAUAAUUUUGUAUAAUUGUAUUCUUCUGCUUUUCAUUGUUCUCACACACUAGGCUUCACCCUAGACACGGCAGCGUGCGCACACUCCCGUAGAGCGGCCAACCGACCGCAUACUAACACCCCCCAGGCCCGAUAGACUAAGAGAUCAUCAGACGUAAUGUUAGCGAGAAUGCCUAAAAUACUGCUAUGUACAUAUGUGUAACCAAACAUAGUGCCUAUAAAGAACAGAGUAGAGUAAACACGCUCUCUGUUUGUCCUACUGAGAUAUAAUCCGUUGCGAUGCUUGUGAGAACGACUGAAACACUUUUUAUAUUACCUGUUAUAGCGAACUACAACCACACAUGUUUAAGCCAGUUUAACUUGUAACUAACUAUAGAAAUGUCCAAGCCUGAGAAACAUUAGCAAGUUAUUAAAUUUGAUCGCCAACUUUCUAACUACGUUCUGUCAUAUCCUAACAAUACCUACGUAAUGUAAAACCAG